AACGAACGCUGGCGGCAUGCCUAACACAUGCAAGUCGAACGGGAUCCUAGCUUGCUAGGUGAGAGUGGCGGACGGGUGAGUAACACGUGGGAAUCUGCCUUUUGGUUCGGGAUAACCGCGGGAAACUGCGGCUAAUACCGAAUGCCCUCGAGAGAGGAAAGAUUUAUCGCCAGAAAGAGGAGCCCGCGUCCGAUUAGGUAGUUGGUGGGGUAAAAGGCCUACCAAGCCGACGAUCGGUAGCUGGUCUGAGAGGAUGAUCAGCCACACUGGGACUGAGAUACGGCCCCAGACUCCUACGGGAGCAGCAGUGGGGAAUAUUGGACAAU
rnacentral:rRNA from 1 species